UGGUGCCAGAGCCUGUGGAGCCGGAGCUGUUCAUAGGUUUCCUGAUAGGAGCUGGCAGACGUUGCCUGGGUAGGGGUAGAACUAGAUGACCGUCUCACUUGUAAGUGAGAGCUAAACACUGAGUACACAUGGACAUAAACAUGGGAGCAGUAGACACUGUGGACUACUACAGGGAGAAGAAAGGGAAGGAGCAUAGCUUGAAAAACCACCCCAAGCAACUGGAAUUACAGGCCCACGUCACUAUGCCCAGCUAAUUUUUUGUAUUUUUUGUAGAGACAGUGUCUUGGUUUUGAAUCUCACUUUCCCCCACUUCUGGCUCUCCUUGGAGUAUUUUUGAUCUCAUGCAGCCACCUUUAUGAUAGAUGAAUCAUUCCUAUGUCAACCAUAGUCAUCAUGAAUCCUCUGAGUGACUCUGGGGUAGCUUUUUCCCUUCUUUUUAGAUAAAAUAUAAAGAAGCUUCCAUGGCUUCUCUGGUCAUUGUUUGGGAAUUAAACAUCCUAUGGUCACUCUAGUUCCCUAACAUUGUGUCCAGAGACCCUUCCCUACCUUCCCUGACCUCUGUGUAUUUCUUCUCAGCACCUCCUCCUCCCAAAGUCCUGAGAUUACAGGCUUGAGCUAUCACGCCUGGCUGUCUCCUAGGUCUUUGGUAUUUCUUCACCCUCACAUGAGCCUUCCCAAACAUGCUGGGUUCUUUAUGUCCUGACAACAUGUGAGGUU
rnacentral:lncRNA from 1 species